UAAAUUAAGACAAAGAUCACCCCAUAUAACAAAAAUUGCCCUGGUCGGUACUUCCACCAUUUGCUGCAAUGGAUGCUCCUCACUAACUAUGGAUGCUGUUCUAAGGUGUUCCACUCUUCUACAGGUGCUAGAUUCAGGAUCGUGCUUUACCCACCUGCCACCACCGGCUAAUUGGAAGAACAGAAGAUCCUAAUUUGCUACACGCACCCCCACCUGAUCUAGCAGAACUGCAUGUCCCACCUGUAGAAGAGUCCUACUUGCAGUUCUGUUAGGUCAGGUGGGGGUGCAGUACCAUCCAGUCUCUGGUUCUGCUGUCCCAGAUCUGCUCUAUGGGGUUCAGGUCAAGGGUCAUAGCUGACCAAACCAUGAUAGCCACUCCCACUUCCUGAAGUCCAGCUGUGACAAUUGUGUGGUGGAGCGUUGUCAUCCAUGAACAGAAAGUUGGGAUGUUCUGGUGGAAUUGGGGGAUGGUGAUGGUUCUAUGAUGUCUCUGAGACUGUUGCUCCACCAAAGCAAACCCGGGGACCACGUUGACCUCGGCGUAUCGCUCCCCCUCGCCUUCUCCAGCAUCGCUGACGACCAUCAUUUCUGUGCAAAUAAUGGAGAAAGGACACUCCCCCGAUCUGCUCCAGUGUCUUCUGAUCACAGCAGACUGAGAUGUCUUCUGUCUCACAAACUGGGGUCUCAGAUAACCUAUUAUCCAGGACACAACAGCCCUGCCUAGGUAUUUCCUAGAGUCAUAAAGGUAUUUCAAAUGUGUUAAAGACACUUACAUGUCUGAUUCAUCCUUCCUGUACCUGAUGUUCUGGAUCCAAACAAGAGAGAGCAUGUUGCACCAGGAGCAGGAGACCACAUGCUGUCCUUUUAAAAAGACUUUGCUGCAUCCAGGAACUCUGGUCAACUUCCAAAAGGCUAUAAAGGGCAGAAAGAAGGAAAUGACGGCUUGCCAGCACGUCUGUGACAAUAGCAGGCCGUUAUAAAGUAAAUAAACUUUAAUGAUGUGAUCAAAUACUGAGUUCUGGUUCUGUUGAUGUUUGGCUGAAGAAUAGAGCUGCUGGUUUCAUAGCAACCAGGUUGUUGUCUAACGGUAAAGGAAUUGAAGGAAUUAAAGGAAGGUUUGUCUGUGCCUGAAAUUGAAGUUCCUUUUUAAAGAAAGUCAGAUGUUUCUACAUCAGCUGUAAGGAGGAACUUGCACAAACGGUUUGAUUCAGUGAAUCCUCCUCACUCACUCCAACUUCUCUCAUGUCCUCAUCUACAUCCAUGAACCUCCUCUUUGGUCUUCCUCUUUUUGCUGGUUGCUCCAACCUCAGCAUCCUGUAACCAACAUCAUCACUAGUCCUUCCCUCAACAUAUGCAAACUUUCUCAGUCUGUAUUUAUCUUUAAAAAAUCUACCAUGAUCUCUGAUGGAUCAUUCCUGAUCCUACCCAUCCUCAUCACUCCCAAAGAGAACCUCAACAGAAGCAUGAAGGAAGUGUUUGAACUUGUGUCUCCUGAUCCUCUGUGGGAGGUGUUUCCAGGGAAAUGAGGUCCGGGGGCCCCUUCUAAGGGUCAUCAGGUCUCUGUGCAACCAGAGCAGCAGUUUGGUUCAUACUGAAACCCGUUUCUAGAAAUGUCACUGGUACUGGUUCUGUUCAUGACUUGUAUGCACAGAACUUCUAGUCACAGAUUAUGCUGUCCUCUUGGCUUCUCAUCAAACCUCAACCCUCAGUGUGCACUGGGGGGGGGGGGGGGUUUCAGAUAGUGUGAA
ensembl:lncRNA